rnacentral:siRNA from 1 species
CCAACAACUGGUGCAUUCGCUACU